rnacentral:rRNA from 1 species
CCUACGGGAGGCAGCAGUGGGGAAUAUUGCACAAUGGGCGCAAGCCUGAUGCAGCCAUGCCGCGUGUGUGAAGAAGGCCUUCGGGUUGUAAAGCACUUUCAGCGGGGAGGAAGGCGGUGGGGUUAAUAACCUCAUCGAUUGACGUUACCCGCAGAAGAAGCACCGGCUAACUCCGUGCCAGCAGCCGCGGUAAUACGGAGGGUGCAAGCGUUAAUCGGAAUUACUGGGCGUAAAGCGCACGCAGGCGGUCUGUCAAGUCGGAUGUGAAAUCCCCGGGCUCAACCUGGGAACUGCAUUCGAAACUGGCAGGCUAGAGUCUUGUAGAGGGGGGUAGAAUUCCAGGUGUAGCGGUGAAAUGCGUAGAGAUCUGGAGGAAUACCGGUGGCGAAGGCGGCCCCCUGGACAAAGACUGACGCUCAGGUGCGAAAGCGUGGGGAGCAAACAGGAUUAGAUACCCGUGUAGUC